rnacentral:pre_miRNA from 1 species
AUUGUAGCACUAAAGUGCUUAUAGUGCAGGUAGUGUCUAGUUAUCUACUGCAUUAUGAGCACUUAAAGUACUGCUAG